UACGAAGGGGGCUAGCGUUGUUCGGAAUUACUGGGCGUAAAGCGCGCGCAGGCGGUCCUUCAAGUCAGAGGUGAAAGCCCAGAGCUCAACUCUGGAAUUGCCUUUGAAACUGCAGGACUUGGGUACGGGAGAGGUGAGUGGAAUUCCGAGUGUAGAGGUGAAAUUCGUAGAGAUCGGAAAGAACACCAACGGCGAAAGCACUCUGCUGGGCCGACACUGACACUGAGAGACGAAAGCUAGGGGAGCGAAUGGG
rnacentral:rRNA from 1 species